rnacentral:tRNA from 40 species
GGGGCCAUAGCUCAGUUGGGAGAGCGCUUGCAUGGCAUGCAAGAGGUCGUCGGUUCGAUUCCGUCUGGCUCCACCA